rnacentral:rRNA from 1 species
CGUGUAGGCGGCCUGAUAAGUAUGAAGUGAAAGUCCUGCUUUCAAGGUGGGAAUUGCUUUGUAGACUGUCGGGCUUGAGUGCGGAAGAGGUAAGUGGAAUUCCCAGUGUAGCGGUGAAAUGCGUAGAGAUUGGGAGGAACACCAGUGGCGAAGGCGACUUACUGGGCCGUAACUGACGCUGAGGCGCGAAGGCGUGGGGAGCGAACA